UACGUAGGUGGCAAGCGUUGUCCGGAUUUACUGGGCGUAAAGAGCGCGCAGGCGGUCAUUCAAGUCGAGUGUGAAAGCCCCCGGCUCAACUGGGGAGGGUCACUCGAUACUGUUUGACUCGAAGGCGGGAGAGGGAAGUGGAAUUCCCGGUGUAGUGGUGAAAUGCGUAGAUAUCGGGGAAGAACACCCGUGGCGAAGGCGGUUCUCUGGGACGGUACUGACGCUGAGACGCGAAAGCGUGGGGAGCGAACAGG
rnacentral:rRNA from 1 species